rnacentral:rRNA from 1 species
AUUGAACGCUGGCGGCAUGCCUUACACAUGCAAGUCGAACGGCAGCACGGGAGCAAUCCUGGUGGCGAGUGGCGAACGGGUGAGUAAUAUAUCGGAACGUGCCCAGUCGCGGGGGAUAACGUAGCGAAAGCUACGCUAAUACCGCAUACGAUCUAUGGAUGAAAGCGGGGGAUCGCAAGACCUCGCGCGAUUGGAGCGGCCGAUAUCAGAUUAGGUAGUUGGUGAGGUAAAGGCUCACCAAGCCGACGAUCUGUAGCUGGUCUGAGAGGACGACCAGCCACACUGGGACGGAGACACGGCCCAGACUCCUACGGGAGGCAGCAGUGGGGAAUUUUGGACAAUGGGCGCAAGCCUGAGCCAGCAAUGCCGCGUGCAGGAUGAAGGCCUUCGGGUUGUAAACUGCUUUUGUACGGAGCGAAAAGGCUUCCACUAAUACUGGGGGCUCAUGACGGUACCGUAAGAAUAAGCACCGGCUAACUACGUGCCAGCCGCCGCAGUAACAC